UUGAGGAGGCAGGUUCUGGAGUUUUAAAUCCAAUGACAGCUGAUCCAAGCAGUAAUACCAAGCAGACUGUCUUCCCCAGGAGGCGUGGGCAUAGGAGAGGACCUGUAAGGUGAGCGCAACACGAGAAAUAGAAGAUCAGCAUGUCUGAGUUGGUGUGGUCUCAGCUAGAGUCCCAGUACCCUAGGGUCAGCUAUGGUGGCAGCCCAGUAUGAUGGAAUACCUUUGGACAUUGCUGUCAGGACGAUUUUAGUUUGCAUCGUAGGCCACUUCUGUCCACUUACAAGGCCUCACACAAUUUUUCCAACUUUUAUGAAACUCCUUGCCUUUCUUUGGUAAUGGGAAAACUGUAAACAUUCCCAAAAUUAUUGAAGGAUGUGAGGAGAUGAUGCACAUAAAGCACUUGGCGUGGUUCUCAGCGCACUCUAGAUCCUCAAUCUCAGAUCCCCACACAUGGCGCCAGGCCAGCAGAGUGGAUGAUGCUGAAGGAAUUGAAGCUCUCUUUUAAGUACAGGUAAUUACAAAGCAAACAGAUUUUCCAGCACGAAAGGUUUAUGACUUUUGGAAUCCAAGAACAGGGGUUAAAGAAGUCAUUGCAAUCCCCAUUGCCUCAUCUGGUGGAACUGACCUAAACAAGUGAAGUUUCCCAUUUUACUGAAAAACCAAGCAGGCUAACAGGUUUUACUUCCAUUUCACCCAUCAUUCUGUGUUUGUGACUGGAGGGUGUGCUUUAAAGCUGUGAGCCUCACCUUCUAUCUCUUCGUGGCCCGAAGGCUCUCAAUGGGAAUUGUGAAACGUAGAACCACAAGAGUCUCCAAAAGAAGUAACUUAUCUUUUCUCCUCCCUGAAACAGAUUCAUAUAGGCUAAAAAAUUGGAUGAGUACAUUUCGCUUUGUUUAAAUAACACUUGGUUUUGCUGCUUUUAAUCAUUGGUUCCCCUGAGCCUGGCAUGCUUUCUGCAGCACACACUGGCUGCAUACCUAACAGAUAUUUUGAAUACAACAGCUUGACUCCCCUGCUGCUUGGAUGAUAGCAAUUGGCUAGGUGUUCCAUCCUCUUCCUUCUCCCCCUCUCUAUGGUUGCAAGGAGAUUUCAAGUGCAAUUUGGCCUUGCACGUCAAACAGCAAUUUUCCUGCAGACAUCACAACCUCCAAAAACCCUACCCUAAUCAAAUCUAUCAAGCCCAAUUUAGGGGUGAGCUUGUGUCUGUUUAUCAAGGAAAUGGAGUUGAAAUUGCCCCCUUUAAUGGAAUCACAGCUGCCCACCAUAAUCUUUCACAUGGAUGUUUGAAUUAAUAGUAGGACGUGGCCCCUGCUCUCCAACCUUGGAAUUUGAUUCUGGUUAUAGGAAAUUGCUAUAAUUUCCGUUCUGGGACUCUCAGAGAUGUUGGGGCAUUUGGGGCUGGGGUUAGAAUUAAUGUGUCAGAGGAAUUUAAGAAUUCAGAAGUGGUUGUGGGAAGAUUAGCACUUUUACACAACACCCAGUGAGUCACCUCUGCAUCAAAUCAAACCUGCUGUGACCCACGUGAACUACUUUUACCAAGUCAAGGAGAAAGAAUAGAGGAAUGGUUUUUUCUGAAGAUCAAAUUUUAAAUGAGAACACAGCAGAUAUGGGUAGAAAGUAUGUGUCCUUCUGAAGUGUAGGGCAGCUCAUUUGAACCAAUUGUGCUUUUGGAGUUGCCAUACUGAGUGGCCAGCAGCCCAGAUGAGAUGCCUAGGUCCUCCCUGAGCUAGAGUAAAGGCUGGUAGCCUGUCCUGGGGCCCAUCCCUUCUCCCCAUUCACUCCUUUUGUACGUUGGGACUUUGUAUUUCCCCCACGGAAGCCUCAGUGUCCCCUUAGAGGUUGUGUUCCACUCGGCAUGCAGACAUAGAUCCUACGGCAGUUUUGCCAUAGCACAGGGUGACUUCACUUUUUAAAAUGACCAAGGGACAUUCAGUUCCUCUUUCAAACACAUUGGCACCUUUGUUUAUAUCUUGCUAUUUAGAACACUGUUUUUCUUGCAUAUUUUCAUGCUUGUAUCCCGCGUCAUCCUCAUGGUACAGAAGGGAGGUAAACCAUUCCUAAUGUGAAAUUGUAAAUGAGGAAAGCACAGCUAGAUGACCUAUUCAAUUAUUGAUGGCACUGGAGCCAGGCCGCCUUGAACAAACCCGUGCUCUUCACGUAACACGUUCUGACGUCUUGAACCUUUCUCUCAUUCCCCUUGACCACUCACUCCCCAGCAUGUGAGCCGGGCACAUCUUUCCCGAGGCAGAGUCCAUGACCCCAGCGCUGUACCACCCACACAGACCUGGUUACCUCUGACCCCUCAAGGAAAUUUCUCCUCAUCUGACCCCCCCCCAAGAACUCAUUCUGAUAGAGGGUAUUUCAGGGAGACAUGCCUUGUGUAAUCUUUUUUAAGUGCAGUAUAAUAAAAAAAAAUUAAAAUCCUUAAAAAAAACUAAUUCUGAGCAUUAUAAUACAUAGGUGAGAGACAGCCUCUUUUCCUGAAAUACACCUGAAGUUUUCCGUCUUUCAAUUGACAAUGAAAAGCUCCUAAAUUAGAGAAUCAUAGGCAUUUAAUACAUGUGGGGAGGGAGCCUAUUCAUUUUCUUCAAGAGUGGCUAAUGCCUCUCAGAAAAUUCCCCCAUUUAGAAUUAAUUCAGCUUUCCUAUUGGAUUCCUUUCUUGUCUCUUUUCCUCCUGCGUUGUCCUGCCUCUUUUCAUUUUACUUAGGGGCAUUUGCAUGAAAACAGCAUUUCAGCUACUUGGGGUUUUAUCUGCUGCCAUUUACUCUCCCUUAGAAUCCAUAAUUCCCUGCUAUCACCUCCAUCUCUGCACCCCCCACUCUUGGGAUGCCUUCAGGGAGGAGGGCACACACCACCCAUCCCCAUAAGUAGCACCCUUCUCCAGAGCCUGGAGGAUUGGCAGUCCCCAGAGUACCCUAGCUAGGACGGAAAGAUUGCCAGGCAGUGAUGGGUCGGGGGGUAGGGCUGCGAGGGUGAGUUGCUAAGCUCUCUCCCUGUGCCAUCUGCAGCUCUGACCUUGUCUGUUGAUCAAUGGUCUGUAUGUGCAGGGAGUGCCGAAAGCCCUGGCUGCUUUCUCGUGCAAGCAGAGUGCUAUGCUAACCUUCCUCACUGCAUUCUGUACGGCUAACAAAUAGUCAUAGCCUGAGAAACUGUGAACAGAAAGUGAGAAACAAAAACACAGUGUUAUUUUCCCCCACUUUAUGUAAUUGCCUCGGAUUAUUGAUUGAGCUUUAUCCAUUGUGCUGUGCAACUCCCUUUGCUACUGUUGAGAAUUGAGAAAGGGUGCCCGUUCCUCAGGAGAGAGCCUGAUGGGUUGCGGGUGUGAUUAUGAGCAGAUAGAGGCAGCCCAGCUCCAGAUUGUUGAGGACCAAAAGGACCAUAGACAUUGGCAAAUAAUUCCAGCACAUCAUUUACCUGGCAUCCUCCACCUCCAGACACAUCACGGAGCUGAGGUAGCAAAUACGGGACCUUUGAAUGAGACUUUCCCUGUAUGGCAGGAGGGCACCCUCAUUCAAUUUGUGGGUGUUUUCUUCCUUCAUUGACAAACAUAACUGAGAGAGGACAUUCUACACCGAGGUCCCUGGCAUCUCCAUGCUUCUGCAUCUUUUGCCACCUGUUUGCUUCUCGUAAACUCCUCUCUUGACGUUUAUCACUGACUUACUAAUUAUCAAACGAACUGGCUGAAUCUCAAGCCAACUUACUCCUUUCUGCAGCACUUGCUCCCAGCCACUGCCCACUCCUCUCUGUGAAAUCCAUCUUCCUAGCCCUCCAGACCUUGACCUUCCUUUCUCCCUCAGCCCUGGCUGCUUGGCUUCUGCUCCUUGAGGACUCCUCCACCUUGUCUUUCUCCCAAGUGAAGGCAUUCUCUGGAGUUCUGUCCCCAACCUUUCUCUUGUCCUUUCUUUUCUUUUUAUACAUUCUUUCCCUUGGUGUUCUCAUCACCUCCCACUGUCCAAUUAUCACCUCUGUGGGAAUGAUGCCUAAAUCUGUUUCCAGCCUUGACUAUUUAUCCAAAAAUCUCGUCUUGCAUCUAUAAUUGCCUUCACAAUAUUACCAGCUCUGUCUUCCUUGCCCUGACAUAAAUUCUGUCUCUCAGGCCUGAUAAUCUGUUGAUUUUAACUUUGUUAUUUUUCACCACUCCUUUUCGUCUCCAGCACCUGCAACCUAGUUUGGUAUUUUAUUGCUUCUCACCCAAACUAGCAGAACAACUAAUUAGUUAAUCUCUCUCUUUCGCCUCUUACCCUACACACCUCUUCCCAAAGUACAGCUCUGACCCUCACACUUUCUAAUAAAAGCCAUUAAUGAUACCCUUAUUUUUGCCAGGAAAGUUAAGUCCAGCUUAUUUAUUGAGGCAUGGCUGAGGGGGUCGGAGCACGCUCAUAAGCGUGACACCUGCUGUUUCCUGUGCCUGCUCUGCGCUAUCUCAAGCCCUCACCUUCUUCCUCUUUGCAUGCACCAAGUUUUUGUGCCACAAAGGGCAAGAGUAGUUUCCUGAGCAUCCACACCCAGUGAGAACUCUGGAUUUGGUCCUGCCAUCCCCUAUGCCAGGAUUAGCCUUCCUUUUCCCAUCCCAUGCACCUCAGCACCUCCUUGCUCACGUGACAUAGUUUUCAUCAUCUUUCAAAACCCACAGCAAGGGUUAUGUCCUCUGCAACGUCUUCUCUCACGCAACCUGACAGCAUCAGUCAUUCCCUUCCCUCCACUCCCAGGGCACCGACUAUGUCUCUCUUGCUGUGAGUUGCAUGUGUCUCCUCCAAAAUUCAUGUGUUAAAGCUUAACUCCCACUGUGCUGGUGUCAGGGAAGUGAUUAAGUCAUGAAAGCUGUACCCUCAUGAGUGUGUUAGUGCCUUGUCAAAGGGCUGGAGGGAGUAGCCAUGACUCUUUUUCACUCCUUCUGUCCUUCCUGCCAUGGGAAGACACAGCAUACCUCCUUCUGGAGGAUGCGGCCACAGGUGUUCUCUUAGAAGGGAAGACAGAGUCUUCAUCAGGCACUAAACCCACUGGCAUCUGAAUCUUGGACCCCAGCCUCCAGAAGUGUGAGAAAUAAAUGUCUGGGUUUUUUUUUUGUUUUUUUUUAAUAAAUUAAUCACUCUCAGGUAUUUUGUUAAAGAAGCACAAACAGACUAAAACAUUCAUAUUAUAAUAUCUGCUUCUAUAAAGCAGAGGCCAUCAUGAUCAUCUUCCUCACUGUAGCCCCAGCACCUAACAUGGAAUAAACAUGAAGUCAGGACCAGCCCUCACUUCCAACCCAACUGAAAUGCUUGCCUUUUCAUGAGCAUAUACUAUGAUUCCUUCUGUCAUUGCUUUUACUCUGGUCCUUUCCUACAGCAAUUUCCCCUCUAUUAUGGAUUCACCAAAAUUCCACCCAUUGUAAGCAAUGCCCAGUGUAUAUAUCUUUUCCCACAAGAAGUCUUCUUUGGCCUCUUUUUAUUCAUCCUACAUGGAUAGGUGGGGUGUGUGUGUGUGUCUAAGUAUGUAAACUCUCAAACAUGAAAAACGUAAGAUUUACAGUUAUCAGACUUAUAUUAGAAUUUGGACCCAGAUAAGUAGAGCUUUAUUACUUAAUUUUUUUUAAAGUUUACACUACUCUAAUACUAAAACACGCCUUGCAGGGGCAAUAAUACUAGUUUCUACUAACAGAAAGAACUUACGAUAGCACCUGGAAUAUAGCAAAUGAUCAAUAAUGUUAAUUCAUGUUCUUUCUUCUUUAAGAAACUUAGCAUUUUCUGACUUUCAGCAUAUUCGUACACUUCUUUCCUGUCAAUAAUAGAACAAAACUACCAGUGAAAGAACAAUAUCUUAUCCACAUUUCUUUUGCCAGCAGUGACUAUCAGAGAUUCUUAUAUACUUGUAUUGCUCGGGAUGUUUAUUAAAUUUAAUGGAGCAAAUGGAUUUAGAAAGUUUUAUGCUUUAAAAAAGAAUAUAGCUUUAUUGUUUGCAGAAAAUUAAACACAAUGUUUAUGGUCAUGCCUAUAAAAUUUUGGACAUCACACUUUCGAUAAGGAAUAUAAUCACUCGAUAACAUAUUUUCUAUGGGAAAAUCAGAUUUGACAUCCAUCGUUUCAAUUUAGUGUCGUUAGCAGAAAUUUUGCUCCUUUUCUCCAUUGUAACUUUACGUAAGCAUGAAAACAUGAAACAGCAUUGACUUGACAACAUUCUUUUAAAAGGUGGUCAAUGAGGUAAAUUAGAUUACCUGCUAAAUUCCGUGCAGUAAUUGAGUUUUCCUAUAAGACUAAGUGCACCUUCUUUGAAGAAAUUUGUUUUCCACUGUGGGGCAAAUUAUAAAUAAUUGGUUAUAUGCACUGAAUUGCUAUGACCCAGAAUCUUAAAAAUAUCUAAUAAUCACAAAAUUUGAAGCUCUCUGGACUUGAGUUUUUCUUUUGAAAAAGUAACUGUGGUUAAUCAUUGCCUCACUUAGACUGCAAUGUUGAUAUGAAAACCGCGUGUGAGCCUCUCAGUUCCAGAGUCUGUCUUUGCUUCCACAUCCCUGAAGCCUAGUAGAGUGUCUGGAAGAGAAAAAGCGCUCAACAAAUAUUUAUUAAAUAUGUACAGAUUAUGAGAAAGGUUGCUGAGGAUUUUAAACUGUAAUGUAAUAUAAUGUAUAUUGUCUGCACUCCCCUCUCAUUUUAGAUGGGGUAAUGAGGCCCAGAGAGGAGAGGGAAUUUGUCCAGUGACACACAGGAAGCCAGUGGCAGAGCAAGGGGUGGUUCCCAGCUUUUAUGCUUCCAGGUCUAAUGCUCGUCACACACAUCACACCAUAUCAGUCACGUCACAGAUGCCAUACACUGUCUGAUAUUAGAAAAACCCGUCCAAUUCAACUGAUAUUUAUGGAUUUCUUAUUAGGUUCCAGGCAUGGUGCUAAGCACUGCGGGAUUACAAGAUGAGUUACACAGUCUCUGCAUUUAAGUUCACAAAAACACAGAAAGCACUACCAAAUAGUUAUUAGGACAUAAAUAUUGCCAUGGGGAUAUAAAGAAAGCACUGGGAGCUCACGGUGAAUGGAGCCAUGAAGUUGGAUUACAGGAGGCACAAGGUCAAAGGCUUUUCAUGGGAAAAGUGUGUUAGGCUAAUCUUUGGAAGAAAUGCAGGGCAGUCAGCUAAGAAGAGAAGGAACAGUUCAGUCCCAGGAAAAGCACAGAGGACAAAGGCCCUGCCUACCCCACGCCUGUGACUAGAAGGAGUCGUCAUAGAAAUUACGGAAUAAAGACUGGGAAUGUGAAUUUGUCCAGGUCAUCAAGGGCCGGGAAUACUAUGCUUGGGAAUUCAAGCUUUAUUUGAUAGGUAAUGGAAGCUUUUAAAGGUUAUCUGAAGACAGGCACUAUCUUUUUUGGAAAACCAUUCUGGCUACAGCAGCAUGAGAGUGGAGAGAGGGAUGGCGACGAGAGAAGCUACAAGGCAGCUUCAAAAUCUAGAAAGCUUUCUCCAAAGAGGAAAGUAGUGCUGAGAACAGAGAGGAAACAGCAAAUAGGAGGAACACUGCAGAGAAGAACUGGCAGCUUGGGCUCUGCAUUCAGGCUGGCCAUCCCCUUGUGUCCUUAGGCUAGUAAUCAAAUUAUGCGUGCUCAGUUUCAUCAUCAGCGCAAUGGGGCUAGAGCGCCUGCUCCCAGUGUCGGAUGUGUAAAGCACUAAAAAGGAUGCCUGUCCCACAGAAAGAUCUCAGUAAGUGUUCAUGGUGGCUGUUGGAACAGAGAUGUUAACAUGGAAGGCAAGUCUCCCAGAGCUGGCACCCACCACUGUCUUCAGUGCCUAGAAAAGUCUUUGACACCUAUUAGGCAUUUGGUAAAUACUUUUAUUGCUUUUAUUGUGUCUUCUUUGUAUUUUCUCCCUUUAUACCUUUCAGACAUGAUCUUAUAUGAAGUUAUUUGCAUAAAGACUACGACUGGAGUCUUCAGAUAGUAUGGGUUGAUAUGGGAAAGUUUAUUAAUGAUGUCACGAUUUUCUCUAAAAGUGACUAUCACUUUCAAUGUAUUCAGCAGAAGGUUUGGGAAACAAAAUGUUUAAGUGGAGGUGAAUGUUUUAGAGACAUCCUUCCUUGAAUUUGAUUUACAAGAUCAGUGAGCUAAGGCUCAGUGGUAACAAUUCACAAGUCUAGGGCUCUGACUUGGCUGGACAGGUGACUCACUGGGUCAUGAGAGCUCCAUGCUUUCUCUAGGACUUACUUUACUUAUCUUUGAAAUGGGAUUUAUUAUCUGAGCCCUAGAAAUGCUAUGUUCAUGAAUUGAUACACGUUGAUGGCUUAAGGGGAAGAAGGCAGUAGGUGGCUGAUGAAACUCUCUGGUUUAUAAAGUUUGCACAGAUUCCUAAGAUAAUCAGGAAUUGACAGUCCAGUUAUACCUUCAGGGACUGGGAUUCUCUUUAUAUUUGUUCGAUUAUUUGUUUGAUCAAAACUCAUUUUCCUUCAUUAAAACAUUAGUGAAAAAUAUCCUUCCAGCCACCUUCAGAAAAGCAACUAAAAUGGGCCACACACACUGCCUAGCAUAAGUGUAACUAAGACAUAGUCUCAGUGAACAUAGGGAAAACAUAUAUGUAAAAAAUAAAUACAAUAAAAUUUUAAAUGCUCUCAUGGAGAUAUAUACAAGGUACAAAUGAAGGAAAAUUAGCUGUGUUCAGUGGAGUGGGUGUUGAUCUAGGCAAGGGUCACAGAGGAGUGGUCAUGAGCUGGGUAUCUCAGGGUGAGUCGCAUCACAUAGGGUGUGGGGAGAAGAGCGUUUCUAGCUGUGAGAGGCAGCAUGUGCAAAGCUUUGACAAGUCAUCCCUGAGAAGCAGCACAUACAGGAGGGGGAAUAUUCAGAAUUAGGCUAGAAAGAAAGGGG